AGCAGAAAGGUAGGAGUGCCCAGAUGAUCUGUAGGCCCUUCACACAGAUGGACAGAGGAAUCCUCUUCACUUCUGGACCAGCAAUCUAAGAUCCUAAGUAAAGUGCUAUAUUUCAUCUCUGUGGUUAUCUACCACUCUCCUCUCCGCUACAGAAUGCAAAUUAUUUUCACCUCAAAUCAUCUGAUAUUUCUGGAAGCACAGCCCCUGCCUCUCUCUCAUUUCAGUGGUAACUGAAGACCAAGCUCACCACUGUGCUGUUGCUGUAGUCUUCAUCCAGACUUCACCAAACCAGAGCAUCACCCUUCCACGCAUAAAAAUGAUCACUUCCUCUUGAGGAAGCCGAGCACUGUCAAGCGUGAGAGGAUCCAGACUUGAAGCGUAUCACCGUUUCCAUCCAAACAGCCCGAAGGGGCCCACUUAAGUGGAAACGCUCACAUCUUUUAUCAGCAGAUGCCUCACUUCUCUUACACAUUUAUUAAAUUAAAGAAACAUCGUUUUUAUCUGCUCUGUAGCCAGGAUGGAAAAUUUAGUAAUCCCAUCAGAAUUACUCCUGGAUGCUGUCCUGCACUUCCAGCUCAGUCUUCCUGGGUUUAACUGAUCUGAGAUCAAAAGCUUACUACAAGAAUUCUUUUCAAUGUGAAGCCAAAGAAGGGUUUUUUUAAACUCAUGAUUAAUCUGCCCAUAAUUUUGCCUCUCUGACUUGGACUGAGAGUGAACAAGAUUGCAUAAAGGCAAGAACAUAAGCAAACCUUUGUAUUUCUCUAUUUCCAUCUUUCUUUUUGAGAAACUGCCAAUAAAUGAGUCAGAUUCUUACAGCCCA